GGAAACCAAGUUCAGACAGAUGCAGUCAGAUGGAGAUAGCACUUGGGAAUGCUGGGAAGAUUGGGCAGGAAGUUGUUUUUCAACCAUUUAAAGGGAUGCAAUUCGACUCAGAGAAGGAUGCAUACAAAUUUUUCAAUGCAUAUUCUUGGGAAAUUGGUUUUGGUAUCAAGCAUGGCAAUAAAUACAUAAACAAGAACGGAUUCAAGACGAUGCAGGACCUUUUGUGUUCAUGCGAGGGAACUCACAAAAAAUUCAACUCUAGGUCUAGUAGAACAAACUGCCCUGUGAUGGUUAGAUUGCUUCGCACAGAGGACGACGGAUGGUACUACGGAGAGGUGGUAUUAGAACACAACCACGAGUUGGCAGCUAGUGUAGGUGAAAGAAGGUUAUGGAAGUGUCACAAGUAUGUCGACUCAUCUAUGAAGGACAUUGUUAGGCACUUGCGUUCUAACAAUGUUUGACUGACCAAGGUAUAUGGGGUGAUGGCUGACAUUCAUGGUUCACAUGAUGACGUUCCAUUCCGUAAAAGGUCUCUCAAAUCCAUGUGUGCUUCCAUAGCUCACGAAUGUAGUCAAGAUGAUAUCAAUAAGACACUGGAUUUAUUCACAAGCAUGCAGGCAGAAGAAACUGGAUUCUUUUUCGCAGUUAAAACAGAUGAGGAAAGAAGGGUGUCUGGUCUGUUUUGGUGUCAUCAAAAGAGCAGGGCUGAUUACAGUUGCUUUGGAGAUGCCGUGACAUUCGACACGACUUACAAGAGCAACCUCUAUGAGAUGCCAGUUGGACUAUUUGUUGGAGUCAAUAACCAUUAUCAAUGCUGCCUGUUUGGUUGUGUUUUUCUGCGUGAAGAGACUGUAGAGUCAUUCAAGUGGGCAUUUGAAACAUUCCUAUCAGCAAUGGACAACAAACCGCCAAAAACAAUAUUAACUGACCAAAGCAGGCAAAUGGAUCUUGCUAUUGCUCACGUGAUGAAUUCAUCAAAACAUGUUUGGUGCAAAUGGCAUGUUUUAAAGAAGAUGAGGGAGAAAGUAGGGAGCAUGUACAGGAAUGGUACUCCUUUUAGGAACGAUUUCAACAUUCUAAUAAAUGAGAUGAUGACAGUUGAGGAGUUCGAAAAGGAAUGGCAGGAGAUCAUGACACAUUAUGGACUUGAAAAAAUUCAUUUUUGCAUCAGGUUUAUGAUUGUCGUUUCAAAUGGGCCAAGCCUUACCUCAAGGGAGACUUUUGUGCCAAAAUGUGCAGCACACAAAGAAGCGAGUGCAUGAACAACCUGCUCAAGUGUUAUGUAUCCAGGUCGGCACCAAUAAACAUCUUUUUUCAACAGUACACAAAGAUGUUUGCCGACAGAUGUGAAGAGGAGGACUUCGAAAUCGCUCACUCAAAGAAGGAUGGGAAGAUAAUAAGAACAAACUUUCUAAUAGAGCGACACGCAGCUAAAAUUUACACAAGGGGUGUGUUCAAGCUGUUCUUACUUGAAUUGUAUCAGUCUGGAUCAUUCAUCGUGAAGGGAAAUCAGGUGGAUGGGAGAAUCACAUUAGAGCAUGCUGAUGCAGAACAAAGGCAACGUUGGUGCAAAGUGGUUUAUGAUGUUAUUGUUGACAGGGAGAGCGACACUUA